UGUAAGCGUAUACCAAAGUUGUUGCAGUUAAAACGCUCGUAGUCGGAAUUUGGCAGUUCCGGAUGUGUGCACGUCGUGUGCGCACUUCGCGGGGAUUGCUUUUGUGGUCUUGCGUAGGAUGAGGCACUUUUAUUAGUGAACGUCCUCACGCAACCACUUUUUACUGUGAGAAAAUCAGAGUGCUCAAAGCAGGCAUUUGCCGUGAAUGUAUUAGCAUGGAAUAAUAGAAAAGGACUUGGUUCUAUUUUGUUGGUUUGUUGGGACUGAGUAAUGAUUAAGAGGGACAGUUGGGGGCAUUUGUAUUUCGGUGCUAGAGGUGAAAUUCUUAGAUUACCGAAAGACAAACUGCUGCGAAAGCGUCUGCCAAGGAUGUUUUCAUUGA
rnacentral:rRNA from 1 species